rnacentral:rRNA from 1 species
UACAGAGGGUGCGAGCGUUAAUCGGACUUACUGGGCGUAAAGCGUGCGUAGACGGCUAUCUAAGUCGGGUGAAAUCCCCGGGCUCAACCCGGGAACUGCGUCCGAUACUGGCAGGCUUGAAUCCGGGAGAGGGAUGCGGAAUUCCAGGUGUAGCGGUGAAAUGCGUAGAUAUCUGGAGGAACACCGGUGGCGAAGGCGGCAUCCUGGACCGGCAUUGACGCUGAGGCGCGAAAGCCAGGGGAGCAAACGGG